rnacentral:lncRNA from 1 species
ACAAAUUUUAUGAAACUAUACGUGGGAAGUGUGGAUUUUGAACGACACUAUAACACCCCAAAAUUUUAAUUUUGGGUUGUUAUUAUAAAAUACUAAAUAAAAUAAACGAUUUUUAAUAUAUGGAUAAAAUUUUCCAACAAUAGUUUAGAUUUUUAUAUAUUUUUAUCAAAGAAAAAUGGUGAUUUUCAAAUGUUUUGGAAUUAAUUAGACGAGCUUUUGUUGAUGUGAUGCUUGUAUAUUACUUGAGUUGUUGUUUUUGUGUGUGCUAAUAUUUUAAAAACACGUUUAGAUGCCGUUUGAUCCUUCGUGAGAAUUUUCUGGACUUUUUCGUGACUUUUUCUAUUUUUUUUUCUAAAGCAAAAUCUAAUUUUAGAUGGUCUAAACUACUUUUUCAUGGCCCUCAAAAACUUUAUUUGGAUUCAAAAUCUCCCAAUCCAUCUCUACAAGUUUUUCUUGGAUUUUUGGAAUUUUUAAAAUAUUUUUCAGGAUUUAAAAUGAUUUCAGCUUUUUCUAGAAUUAUUUUGGAACUGAAAAUGAUUUAUUUAGAAUCCUGAAAUUAAGAAAUUCCGAAACUUUUCCAAACCCUAGACCUAUAUAUAUGCCGGCGUACCCCUCGACACGCUGAUUUUAAAAGUACGAUCGCUUUCGCGAGCCGCCUUUCGUAGCCCCGCAGAUCCAUUGCUGAAGUUUCGGAUCUCGUUUUCGGCGAACUUUUCCGGUACGGCCAACUCCGGCGUCCUCUGCGAAAACCGUCACUAUCCCGAGGUUCGUCUCGAUCUUCUCUACAGCGGCACGCCAUUGUUUUCGCGAAUCCGUACUCGUUUAUCGUUUCCCUAAUCUUUUCUUCUCUUUUCCGGCGAGGUCAUCCAUGGACGAGCUCAUUCUUCGUCUCCUUCGGUCGGCACACCACGGUGCCCUUCAGACCAGCAGCACCACAUCACGCAACCCCC